CCUACGGGAGGCAGCAGUGGGGAAUAUUGCACAAUGGGGGAAACCCUGAUGCAGCGACGCCGCGUGAGUGAAGAAGUAUUUCGGUAUGUAAAGCUCUAUCAGCAGGGAAGAAAUAAAGUCCUUCGGACUUUGGACGGUACCUGACUAAGAAGCCCCGGCUAACUACGUGCCAGCAGCCGCGGUAAUACGUAGGGGGCAAGCGUUAUCCGGAUUUACUGGGUGUAAAGGGAGCGUAGACGGCAGCGCAAGUCUGGAGUUAAAUCCCAUGGCUUAACCAAGGAACUGCGUUGGAAACUGUGCAGCUGGAGUGCAGGAGAGGUAAGGGGAAUUCCUAGUGUAGCGGUGAAAUGCGGAGAUAGUAGGAGGAACACCAGUGGCGAAGGAGGCUUACUGGACUGUAACUGACGUUGAGGCUCGAAAGCGUGGGGAGCAAACAGGAUUAGAUACCCGUGUAGGA
rnacentral:rRNA from 1 species